rnacentral:rRNA from 1 species
CGGCGGACGGGUGAGUAACACGUGGAUAACCUACCUAUAAGACUGGGAUAACUUCGGGAAACCGAAGCUAAUACCGGAUAAUAUAUUGAACCGCAUGGUUCAAUAGUGAAAGACGGUUUUGCUGUCACUUAUAGAUGGAUCCGCGCCGCAUUAGCUAGUUGGUAAGGUAACGGCUUACCAAGGCAACGAUGCGUAGCCGACCUGAGAGGGUGAUCGGCCACACUGGAACUGAGACACGGUCCAGACUCCUACGGGAGGCAGCAGC